GUGAGGUUAGCUUAGCGGCGCUGGGGCAGGUAAAGGAAUACCCUCUGAAAACGCCGCAGUAGCAAAGCCAGUGAACCGUCCUUAAUUUCACUUCUUUAAAAGCGAAAAUAAGAUGGAAUUCAGCCUUUUCCGCCUUAGCAUGGCCCUUGAAGAAUUUGCUGGAGACGGCUCUGUUCUGCAGGAGGUUAAACCAAGAUGAGAGACGAAAAGUAACUCAUCAAAAGUCCAACACUUACUCAGAGGUUAAGCCCGGGAGAUUCUAAUUGCCCAUCAAAGACUGUGUCUGUUAAGGACUGGAAUGACACAGAGAGGACUGGACAAAGGGCUGUCGGAGCCAGACUGGGGGGCACUGCACGGGAACAUUCCCUCUUCUCUCCUGGCCCUGCACCUACCCUGAAGCUGCAACCAGAACAGGAAUUAAGCUCCUAAAAUGCCACGGAAAACUGGUUUCUGGUGAGGACCUGGGAAA